CAUAGACAUGAAUCCUCCUUCUCAGCUUUUGGUGUUCCUGCUGCUCUGGAUCCCAGGCAUAAUAUGUGACAUCCAGAUGACCCAGUCUCCAUCCUUGUCUGCAUCUCUAGGAGACAGAGUCAGCAUUACUUGCAGGGCAAGUGAAAGCAUUAGUAAUGGGUUAGCCUGGUAUCAGCAAAAACCAGGCAGCUCUCCUAAACUCCUCAUAUACGAUGCAGCCAGUUUGGAAUCUGGGGUUCCUUCAAGGUUCAGUGGCAGUGGAUCUGGGACAGAUUUUACUCUCACCAUUAGCAGCCUGCAGCUUGAAGAUGUUGCUACUUAUUACUGUCAACAGUAUUGGAAUACUCCUCCCACAGUGAUACAAGCCAUGACAUAA